UCUGGUGAUAAUGCUCUUUAAGGUAACACCCGUUUCCAUUCCGAACACGAAGGUUAAGCUUUUAGAGGCUGAUGGUACUGCAUGGGAGACUGUGUGGGAGAGUAAGUGGUUGCCAGGU
rfam:Clostridium ventriculi strain 2789STDY5834858 genome assembly, contig: SCcontig000014